rnacentral:lncRNA from 1 species
CCAGCAUCAUCAGAGAGUAUGCUACUGCGUAUGGCUAGCUCGGGAAAAGAUCAAAAUUCAAAGUUCGAAAUACGGUUUCUACUGAAUGCAAAUGGCGUUCACACCGUCGUAAAGUCGAACCCUGAAAGUCGGGACCAUCUACAGUCAAGAAAGCCGCUCCUGGAAAGCUUCACAGAGGAGGUGACUUUGAGGUGGAUUUGGAGAGCCGAGUUCACAAGCAGAGAAGUGGAGAUCCGUCUUUCUGGAAUAGCUCCGGCAGGUGUGAAGAAGCACGUCAGGCAUUGUGGGAAUGGUGAUUGGUUGCAGGUCCCUCCAGUCGUGGGACGUGGGACGCCGCCCCAACGUGGCCCGACGAGCAGUGCCAUGUCCGCACCCAGGAGCCGAACCCUGGGCCGCCACAGCGGAGCGCGCUAACCCAACCACUUGGCCACGGAGCCGGCCCCUCUGGGGCUUCUUGAAGACCUGGUGCAGGGGCUCUCCGCAGCGCGUUGGAGUCGCACUCUCCUAAGUCCUCUCUAGAAACCCUUCUGCUCCUUGAAUCUUCUCACUGAUGGCAGUUAUUAAAAAUGUCUCCCUCCCUUACCCAUAUUUGUUUCUAGAACCCCAUUCAUUUGUUCCUUCUUCAUGUUGUGUUCACCAUAUAGCCAAUAGUUCUGACAGGAUCACCUUGCUACACCUCUCUCCCCGUCCUUGUGUACCACACUCCACCUCUGGAAUUGCAGGGAAGAAUGUCUCCGAGAAAAUUCAUGCCAAUAACUGGACUACACAGCGGUAGACAUGACUGAUAGCUUUUUUUUUCUUUUUCACAUGCAGACUUUUUAAAGUCAUCUGGAUCCCUUGCUAUUUUCAAAUACCUCUCCUUGACAAGAACUAUAUAGUUAUCUGGGCACUUAAUCUAACUGUAUCAUGAUUUGUGCUGCUGAGGCUUCUGCAAGACCGGUGCUGUAUGGCAGAUCAAGUCUCCUCCUCGUGCCCUUCCUGUUUCCUGCUGAUCUCCAGUGCCGACAAGGGGCAUGCUGCCUCCCAGAAAGGCAGUGAGCACCUGUUUUAAGGGGGAGGUGUAGGUCAUGAUGUCUCCUGUUAGUAAGGAAGAAUAUUGGGGAGGCAAUUAGCAGUGUUUACCAUAAUUCAUAUGAUGGAGUGUCAUAUAGCCAUUAAUUUUUGAAGAAUAUUUAUUGACAUGGGAAAAUGCUCACAAUAUGUUAAAGAAGAAAGCAGGAUACAAAUCUGUAAAUACAGCAUGAUCCCAAUCUUGUAAAAUAAAUUAUAUACGCAUAGAAAAAAUACAGGAUGGAAAUACACUAAAACAUUAACAGUGAUUAUCUCAGGGCGGUGGGAUUUGGGGUGAAUUAUUAACUUCAUUAUUUUCUGCAUUUCCCAAACUUCCCACAAUGAACAUAUAUUACUUUUAUAACUGAGGGGGAAAAGAAAGUCAAUACAUGUGAC